CACAGAGAAAGCCUGAGGAAGGCCUUUGUGCAUUGGCCAGUCGUGACCUUCCGUGAGGUCGAGCACGGUAACCCAGUUUCCGAUGAUCCUUCGUUGCAAAGCAAAAAGGAAAGCAGAACCAAUAAUAAUAAUCACUGUGACGGGAGAAAGCCAGAUAGGCACCGAAUUUCCAGUUCUUCAUUCUAUUCCCUUAAUCUCUCUCACCAUUCUCUUUCAAGCAGUUCAUGUUUCUGUAAUUUUACGAAUCGAUCUCAUGUUGCUUCAGUGUCAGAUCUGAUCCAAGCUCAGAAUUAUAGGUAUUGUAGAAUCCCUUCGAUGUUAUAUAGAGUGGGAGAUCGGCGGUAGUUCUUGUUCGGAACGAGACACAGUAACUUGGGAUCUUGUUUGAAUUUGGGGUUCUGGCUCUGAGUGGAGUUGGCUAUCUGCGCUCCGUAGUCGCGGAGGGCUUUGAAUCAUGUUGUCCAAUCAUUUUCAGAACGGGAUCGAGACGGCGAGGCUGGUUUGGUCUCGAUUGCCGAGUGCGGAGGAAGCUGAAGGUCAUGAUGGAGCUGACUUCACAAGUACGAGUUCUGGCGACGGCAUCGAGAGCCUAGACUAUGAAGUCAUUGAGAAUUACGCAUACAGGGAAGAACAGGCGCUGAGAGGGAAGCUGUUUGUUGGAUUUUAUGUGGCGCUGAAAUGGUUCCUUGCGUUGUUGAUCGGAAUAGGAACUGGAGUUGCAGCCAUUUUUAUUAAUAUUGCUGUUGAGAACUUUGCUGGAUGGAAGUUUUCAGCUACUUUUUCCAUAAUACAAACUUCAUACUUGGCGGGAUUUGUGGUUUACAUACUAUUCAACUUGGUUUUAGUCUUUUCAUCUGUAUAUAUCAUCACACAAUUUGCACCAGCCGCAGCGGGAUCUGGUAUUCCUGAAAUUAAGGGGUAUUUGAACGGAGUUGAUGCUCAUGGUAUCCUUCUUUUCAGAACAUUGAUUGGAAAGAUACUUGGUAGCAUUGGUUCAGUGGGAGGUGGUCUUGCUCUUGGCAAAGAAGGCCCUCUUGUACACACGGGUGCUUGUAUUGCGUCUCUACUUGGACAAGGUGGAUCUACGAAAUAUCAUCUAAGGUCAAGGUGGCUACAAGUGUUCCAGAGUGAUCGUGACCGUCGUGAUUUUGUAACCUGUGGAUGUGCAGCUGGAGUUGCUGCUGCAUUUAGAGCUCCAGUUGGUGGUGUGUUAUUUGCACUUGAAGAGGUCACAUCUUGGUGGAGGAGUCAACUUAUGUGGCGUGUCUUUUUCACAUCUGCUGUUGUGGCUGUUGUUGUUCGUACUGCAAUGGCUUGGUGUGGAAGUGGAAAGUGUGGGCAUUUUGGCUCUGGUGGUUUCAUAAUUUGGGACAUAUCCGGUGGUCAAGAGGAUUACUCAUUUGAGGAGUUAUUGCCUAUGGCUUUCAUUGGGGUCAUUGGAGGUCUUCUUGGUGCCUUAUUUAAUCAGCUAACUCUUUACAUAACUCGUUGGCGUCGUCAAUAUUUACACAAGAAAGGGAAUAGAGUCAAGAUUAUUGAAGUUUGCCUUGUCUCUCUGAUAACAUCAGCUAUUUCCUUUGGAUUACCACUUUUAAGAAAAUGCAGCCCAUGCCCGGAGACAGAAGCUAAUUCUGGUAUAGAAUGCCCACGCCCACCAGGAAUGUAUGGAAAUUAUGUCAGUUUUUACUGUGCUAAGGACAAUGAAUACAACGAUUUGGCGACUAUUUUUUUCAACACUCAGGAUGAUGCCAUACGCAAUUUAUUUAGUGCAAAAACAUUUCAUGAGUAUAGUGCUCAAAGUCUUCUUACCUUCUUGGUAAUGUUUUAUACCUUGGCUGUGGUGACGUUUGGUACUGCUGUUCCUGCUGGUCAGUUCGUUCCUGGAAUAAUGAUAGGAUCAACAUAUGGACGGCUUGUCGGCAUGUUUGUGGUUAAUUUCUACAAGAAGCUCAACAUUGACGAGGGAACGUAUGCUUUGCUUGGUGCUGCUUCUUUCCUUGGAGGUUCAAUGCGAAUGACAGUAUCCCUCUGUGUCAUUAUGGUUGAGAUCACGAAUAACUUGAAACUCUUGCCUCUUAUAAUGCUUGUUCUUCUAAUAUCAAAGGCUGUUGGUGAUGCUUUUAAUGAAGGUUUGUACGAAGUGCAGGCCCAAUUGAGGGGCAUUCCAUUACUUGAAUCAAGACCUAAAUACCAAAUGCGGAAUAUGACAGCGAAGGAAGCCUGCAGGAAUCAAAAGGUUGUGUACUUCCCUCGUGUUGUCAAAGUUUCCGAUGUAGUUUCUGUUUUGCGGAGCAGCAAUCACAAUGGCUUCCCUGUGGUAGAUCACCAUGGGGAUGGAGAGACACUUGUCAUUGGCCUCGUACUUCGUAGUCAUUUGUUGGUACUUCUGCAGUCUAAAGUUGAUUUCCAGCAUAGCCCUUUGCCUUGUGAUAUAAGAGGUGGAUCCGUACCGAUCAGGCACAACUUCAGUGAAUUUGUGAAACCUGUCUCCAGUAAAGGACUGUCGAUAGAUAAGAUUUAUUUAAGUCCUGAUGACUUGGAAAUGUACAUAGAUCUUGCACCUUUUCUGAACCCCUCUCCAUACAUUGUCCCUGAAGAUAUGUCUUUGACAAAGGUGUAUAAUCUUUUCCGCCAACUAGGGUUGAGACAUAUAUUUGUUGUUCCUCGUCCCUCUCGUGUUAUUGGCCUGAUUACUAGGAAAGAUUUAUUAAUUGAGGAAAAUGUGGAUCCGGACACUCUGGAGCUCCAAUCGACUAGUGUAAGGAUAAUUAGUUGCAAAAAACGGAAUUGAAUUGAGAGUGCGUCGGAUCCUGGCCAAUGCUUCUGAGUUCAAUUGAGCGUCCUGUGGAAGUUACAUCUCAAUAUGUGCAAUAUGAUGUACCGCAUGGGCAUGAAAGAAGAGUGGUCGGGAGGGAUUCAGAGUCAGAGCAUCCACUUCUUAAUGGUCUUUUGGUCCAAGAUUGAAGAUUAGAAAAGCCAAGGUGUUAAUGAAAAGUCAUUAUUUCUUCUACUACCCUGUUUUGAUAUGUGGUUCCUUCCCACUUUUUGCAUGCUGGGGCAGUAAUUAUAUCUAAUCACGUAUUUUGUAUCCAUUGAGAAACAAGAGGUCUAGGGUCACACAGAUUGUAGGGAACGCGGAGAGUUGUAUAUGUAGGGGAAAACCGUUUUAGGAAUCAAGUUUCUAGUUCUGACAGAUUUCCCCAUUAUUUUGGUGUGGGGUUGGGGGGUUGGGGAAAUGCAUAUAUUACUGCCAGUGUUUAAUAAUUCAUCUAAUCUUUCAUUAUUAUUCUUGAAUUGAAGACUGAAGGGGUUUUAUCGCA